rnacentral:lncRNA from 1 species
GAUUGUUUCUGAACAUGAUAAGUUAGCAAGGCUCUCCAAUAGGAUAUUCUAAUGCUUGAGUUUUCUUUUUUUCCACCCUAAAACAGAUAAUCAUAAAACGUAUUCAAUGUAAAAGAGAUUCUGUGAAAAACAGGGGAGACCAGUUUUUCAUAAAACUCAAUUUACAGCAAGGUUUUAAAUUCUAUGAGAUGGGAUUGUACCAGUUUUUCCAUGAAACAGGACGGGCCACCAUCCCGCCCCACCCCGACACUUGGGACAGGUGUGCUCAUCGGAAUGCUGGGGCAAUGGCGGGACAGUCCUAUCCUGGUGGGACUUGAGUCCCGAUGGGACCCCAUCCCGAUGUCCUGUGGGACGUCCCGAUGGGACUUGAGUCCUUGAUUUUCAGGUUUUAUGAACACGUUUCAUGGAAACAGACAAAUGUUUUUUGUAAAAACCCAUUCAUUUUCUGUUUUCUGAACCAGAGCAAACCUUGUUAACCAAACAGCACCAAAGGCUACAGGCAGGAAACUUAAAAACAUACAGAGUGAUGCCUUUCACUGGAUAUUUUUAAGCAGAAACCUAUAGUCUGCCUUAGGAUGAAAGUCCAUUAAGGUAAAGGAAAUGAAACGAGUAAUUAGAGUCAAACACUUGGCUUCAGUAAUGAAGCAUAUGCAGCAUAACCUUAGUUAUGCUUUUUUACCUCUUGGGUGACUUUGAGCUGACAAAGGCCAAAAACAGAAAAAGAUUUUCCAAGUUCAACUACAAUACAUUUCAGAAAAUUAUUAGAAAGACGAUCCCUAUAAGCAGGCUGAGGAAACAAUUAAAAGAGGCAUCUUUCUAGAAUGAAAUUUCUUUAAGGAUAAAAAUUUAGAAGAUAGUAUUUAUAUGCUUCAGGAUAGCAAAAGAGAAUACUUAUCAAGUCAUAAAUAGUUCCCCUCAUGCAUGUCUUAAGCUGUGCGUUUCAGGUAAAAGGAUUAGUGAUUUCACAUGACCAAGUAUUUCGAUUGUCCCAAACCAAAGUUUCUCCAACCAAAACAAAUCAAAUAGGCCAGAGCAAGUUUCAGCAUCUGAUUUUGGUUUGAAAGGCCAAAAGAUAAACACCAAGGUCAGCAGUACCAUCCUGAACCGCUUGAUUCUGGGUGUAUCGAGCUGUACUGGAGGCCGACUAGGCCAGUUUC